rnacentral:rRNA from 1 species
AACGAACGCUGGCGGCAGGCCUAACACAUGCAAGUCGAGCGGAUGAAGAGAGCUUGCUCUCUGAUUCAGCGGCGGACGGGUGAGUAAUGCCUAGGAAUCCGCCUGGUAGUGGGGGACAACGUUUCGAAAGGAACGCUAAUACCGCAUACGUCCUACGGGAGAAAGUGGGGGAUCUUCGGACCUCACGCUAUCAGAUGAGCCUAGGUACGAUUAGCUAGUUGGUGAGGUAAAGGCUCACCAAGGCGACGAUCGUUAACUGGUCUGAGAGGAUGAUCAGUCACACUGGAACUGAGACACGGUCCAGACUCCUACGGGAGGCAGCAGUGGGGAAUAUUGGACAAUGGGCGAAAGCCUGAUCCAGCCAUGCCGCGUGUGUGAAGAAGGUCUUCGGAUUGUAAAGCACUUUAAGUUGGGAGGAAGGGCAGUAAGUUAAUACCUUGCUGUUUUGACGUUACCGACAGAAUAAGCACCGGCUAACUUCGUGCCAGCCGCCGCUGUAAAAC